CCACGAUAUCUCCUUAUUUACCACGCCACAAGUUCCCUCCUUUUUUUUCAGCACUCACCUACCUCUAUGCAAAAAGACCAAUUUACCCUCACUUACUCUAUAUACAUUGUAUAAAUUGUGGGGGCUUUAUUGUCUUUUUACAUUUAAAAACAGUAAAAAAUUUUAACCUUACUUCUAAACCCAUCUCAAACCUAUGGUGGUCUCGAUCACUUUUCUCUCUCUCUACCUUUCCCUAGCUCUUCGUCCCCUCCGCCUCCUCCACAUGCGACUCUAGCAAGCCCCACGCCUCCGCCAAGCCUCGCGCCUUCGUCUUCAUCGGAAGCGAGCCCC
rnacentral:lncRNA from 1 species